rnacentral:rRNA from 1 species
GACGAACGCUGGCGGCGUGCUUAACACAUGCCAGUCGAACGGAAAGGCCCUGCUUUUGUGGGGUGCUCGAGUGGCGAACGGGUGAGUAACACGUGAGUAACCUGCCCUUGACUUUGGGAUAACUUCAGGAAACUGGGGCUAAUACCGGAUAGGAGCUCCUGCUACAUGGUGGGGGUUGGAAAGUUUCGGCGGUUGGGGAUGGACUCGCGGCUUAUCAGCUUGUUGGUGGGGUAGUGGCUUACCAAGGCUUUGACGGGUAGCCGACCUGAGAGGGUGACCGGCCACAUUGGGACUGAGAUACGGCCCAGACUCCUACGGGAGGCAGCAGUGGGGAAUAUUGCACAAUGGGCGGAAGCCUGAUGCAGCAACGCCGCGUGCGGGAUGACGGCCUUCGGGUUGUAAACCGCUUUCGCCUGUGACGAAGCGUGAGUGACGGUAAUGGGUAAAGAAGCACCGGCUAACUACGUG